GCCUUGGUCACAUGUGCCCCUGGUACCCACGCGAUCCCAUCUCGAACUCGGCCGUGAAACCAGGUAGCGCCGAUGGUACUGCCGCUUAAGCGCCGGAAGAGUAGGGUGCCGCCAAGG
rnacentral:rRNA from 1 species